AGAAAAGGUAGGAGUGGUGCCAAUGAGAUUAUAGACUAAUGGUAUUAUAAGCAGAGAACAGAUAAUCUUUGAACAUAUUUUAUAGGUUUUUGUGUUUUUUGGUUCCAUUAUCUUAAAUCUAAAGAAAUUAUAGUCACCUGUUGAUAAAAUGUGUCACAAUGGUGUUUCAUUUCAUUUCUUUUCUUUAAAGUUUUUCUAUCUUGUGUUUAGAUUAGUAAAUUUGACCGGAUUUGGAUUUUGAGUUUAAGUUACUUGGAUGUGGUUCAAGAGUAAGGAUCUUUUUGAUACUUAAUUUGAAUCCACAGAAGAACAAAUGAAGAAAAUCCUUGUAUAUUUAUAACUGUUAGAAUUAGGUUUCAUCGUUUUGCUGGGGAGAUGCCCCUUCUCAUUUUCUUUGCCUUGGCAGCUCUUCCUCUCCUAUAUCUUUGUAUUUGAACCAUUUAUAUUCACUAUUCCAGUAAGUUUAUCCAAAUGCAACACAAGGAAUGUGAGUAUUGUCAACAGUAUGCUAGUAUAAUACUUUGGUAAAGAAUAAGCUGCUUGAAUAAUGACCUAAUUCUUUGGCUCCUAUGAGCAACUUUUGGUCAAAAAAAUAAUAUUUUCUAUGUUUUGAUACUGUUGUUGGCAUCUCAUUGAUCUCUCUCUCACACACACACAGAAUUUUCUUGGUAAGCUGCACUGAAACAUGAAAGCAAAUGUACUAUUUCUUGAAAAUUUUCAGUGGCAUUUGAGUUCACUGGUUGCUGAUAGAUGAAGGUAAGGUUAUGCUUUUCUGCUAGUUUAUAUAUCUUAAUGUCUACUUGGCUUUUAUUUACUAAACCACUUGUAAGAAGUAAUUGAACAUAUUAUCUCUUGUUUUAGACCGAAAUCAGAUCGGCAACAUUGGAACUCCUCUGGCACGUAAACAUCCAAUUUUUAAGGUUUAUCAUGGGUUUUUUCUUUUCUCCAACAUAUUAUUACAAUGUCCAAGCUUUCUUUUUCCUAUUUGUGCAUUAAUAGAUAUUAACUGUGAACUUCUUAGUUUGUAAAAAUUGUCAAUAUGACUAGCUAAUAUUUUGAUGUGAUUUAUCUGAUGGCUCCUGAAAUUAUUUUGCUGUCAUUUCCACAAUCUAAGUAGACAUGAACAACAAACUUUGCAUGUACUGCUAUAAGUAAAGGCUUGUAGUAACAGUCAUGGAAAAUAUUAAUGUCCAUGUGUGGCAUGAUGUCAUAAUUGCAAACAAACUAUUAAAUGUAGAAUAUAAAUUAAUCUAGUUUAGUAUAUCUCAUUGGAGAAGAAAACUUUGGGAUUGUCAACCAUCGUCUCCGAAAAUGCCCAAAUCCUCGGAUUUUAAUUCGAAAACGAAUCCACUUGAUCUUUUUGGUGAACUCACCACAUCUUUGUUUAAGCAUUGCAGAUUUUGGGAACCUUACCAGUUUUCUAACAUAUCUACAUCCUGCAUUUUCUUUAACCUUUUUAACAUCUCCUUCUUCUUCUUGAUUUUCCUUGUGCAGG
rnacentral:misc_RNA from 1 species